rnacentral:rRNA from 1 species
UACCGAGUGCGGGUCCUUUGGGCCCAACCUCCCAUCCGUGUCUAUUAUACCCUGUUGCUUCGGCGGGCCCGCCGCUUGUCGGCCGCCGGGGGGGCGCCUUUGCCCCCCGGGCCCGUGCCCGCCGGAGACCCCAACACGAACACUGUCUGAAAGCGUGCAGUCUGAGUUGAUUGAAUGCAAUCAGUUAAAACUUUCAACAAUGGAUCUCUUGGUUCCGGCAUCGAUGAAGAACGCAGCGAAAUGCGAUAACUAAUGUGAAUUGCAGAAUUCAGUGAAUCAUCGAGUCUUUGAACGCACAUUGCGCCCCCUGGUAUUCCGGGGGGCAUGCCUGUCCGAGCGUCAUUGCUGCCCUCAAGCCCGGCUUGUGUGUGGGGUCGCCGUCCCCCUCUCCGGGGGGACGGGCCCGAAAGGCAGCGGCGGCACCGCGUCCGAUCCUCGAGCGUAUGGGGCUUUGUCACAUGCUCUGUAGGAUUGGCCGGCGCCUGCCGACGUUUUCCAACCAUUUUUUCCAGGUUGACCUCGGAUCAGGUAGGGAUACCCGCUGAACUUAAGCAUAUCAAUAAGCGGAGGAAAAGAAACCAACCGGGAUUGCCUCAGUAACGGCGAGUGAAGCGGCAAGAGCUCAAAUUUGAAAGCUGGCUCCUUCGGAGUCCGCAUUGUAAUUUGCAGAGGAUGCUUUGGGUGCGGCCCCCGUCUAAGUGCCCUGGAACGGGCCGUCAGAGAGGGUGAGA